GGGGAGAAAAGAGCGUGAAAGCUAAAAGACAGCAAAGUCAAAGGCAUGAGAAAGGAGAGGCAAGUUGAGUUAGGAGACCAGUUAGGAAGAGGAGAGGUGCUCUGAACCCUGUUAAUUUGUGCAGAUGCAGGGUUGCUUAUACUUAGAUUGCUUUCCUGGGUCCCUGGAAGGGGGGUGGACUUCGGUCUCAGUUCUUUCACUUCCACCCUCUCUGUCUUCAUGUUCACAAAGACUUCUAUCCUAAGUGAUCGCAACGGUCUAUUACAGCUUUCUCGAGGUCUUUCAUUAGAAUCCAACUGUUGCUGGCCUGAUAUAAAUGGGCAACAACUGUGCAUUUAUAGGCAGCAAUCCGUGGCUUAUGCUGAAGAGAAUGUUUUAUAUAUCUGUAAGGUGCUAUCAUCUCUUUGCGCACCAAGAACGGCUUCCUUGGAAUGGCCAGGUAAAUUGACAGUCACUCAUUUCCGUAGUGCCUUUGGACAUGUUCCAAGCUGUGCUCUGGGACUAAAUAGAGACUCCUAUUGCUUGUGGAAAAGGUCUUGGGACCCAGAUAGAACAACUCAGGUCAAAUAAAGUUGGAGAAAAAGAGCAACUCCAUCGAGAGGCUAUACCAGCAAUUUGACCAUUUAAAAAGAAAAGUAAAUACUGCACUGAUGGAUAUUGUGAAGAAAUGCUUUAGGUAAGCUGAACUAUUCUCUUAAGAAAAUACCAAUUGACAUACAUGAGAUAGUUGCAGAAUAAAAGCGAAAAGAAAGAAAAGAUACUGAUGCUUUCCUCUUGUGUAGUAGCGAUCGAAUCAGAAUGGUGCAUCCUCCAGAUGGUGAUUUAGCAGUUUUGCUGCAAGAUAAAGAUGAAAGAGUUUCAAAAUAGGAAUGAGAAAGGGAUCCCUAAAUACUAUGCUCUUUCUACCUGGGAUCCAGUUUAAGGAAAAAGCAGAUUAGCAAGCCAAUGAAAUCCUUAUCAUUAAAGCUGGUUUCAUAGUCUCUGUAAAUCCCAGAACUAAGAAAAAAAAAACCUGAAGAGGGAAUACUUAUUUAAUGAAUAACAUAUUAUCUUUCUCCAUGUCCUUUGAAAGGAAUAACAUAGAAGUUUAUAUUCUUCAUUCCACAAGUCAGUGGUUCCAGGAUGUGGUUCCCAGGUCAACAACAAAAUCACUUGGAACUUGUUCAAAAUGCAAAUUCUGUGCCUCUAUUGCAGGACUGGAAACUCAGGGCAGGGUCCCAGCAAUAACAAGUUAACAAGCCCCCAAGUGUUUCUGACAACUGCUAAAGUUUGAGAUCUAUUGCCAUAAAUCAUGUCCACAUUCCAUGUUUAAGCCUUUCUGCACAUUGUGUAAGAUGGAAAAUAUCAUAUAACUGGGCUCGAUGUGUUUAUAAUUUACACUUCAAGAGACUUAUAACUAGGGGCUUGUACUGACACCUCCCUCACUGUAGCAAUACUGAUGUUUGCACGACAAUGUCCUAGAAGACUUUUCAAGCAAUGGAGAACAUGGGUGUGAAAAGUAAGAGAGAGUUUUAUCACUCAAAAUCAUCCCAUUAUCCAAAAUAAGUGAAAUUUCUGGGACUUAUUUCUGGGGGUCAUCCUUUUCAUUGAAAGUGGGACAAGAGAGCGAUCAUUUUAAUCAAAUGCACACUGAAGCAACAUGAAUGCAAAGAGGUUUUGGCUCUCUGGUAGACAGGUUUGUGAUUGGAAAGUGGCUCGUGGAAGAGCAUUUGUCAUGUUGACAUUGCAUAUAUACUUGUCUCUGGUAUCCAGGGGACUGGCUCCAGGACCCCUGCAGAUACCAAAAUCCUUGGAUGCUCAAGUCCCUUGUAUAAAACCCAUAGCAGAGUCUGUUUUCCCUGCCACGCCAGUUUCCUGCCUCCAAGAUUCAACCGACCUCAGAUGAAUUUCCCAUCAAUUUGUGGCCAAGAAACCUGCCAAUAGAAGGGCUGGCUCUACUCACUACUUUCUUUCUUAUUUAUGACUUUUCAUGAUUUUCCCCUUAAUUUCCUGUCUUUUAAGAGUGUGACAAUUCUGGGAGUUUUUCCUCUCCCAGAUCCUCCCAGGGUGCUCCAUUAUAUUUCAAUUUACUUAAAACUUCAAAGGGAUUUUUUUUUUUUUUUUGCACUUUGGGAGAACGGUUUAAUAUUCUUUGAAACAUUAAGACUCACAUCUUAUACCAUAAAACAGUCCUUCUAAAGUGGAUAUUAUUGUAUUUAGGACGUUGUGUGACCAUCACGAUGACUUCUAUAGCUGGAAGUGCAGCAGGUUCCUUUUCUUUCAUUCCUGUGAAGCAUGUUGCUUCUCUUCAGAACCCUCAUGACGAAGCUUCAGAGCGGGCAGCGAGGUCAGGUCCGUGGGACAGCACCUUGGUUAUAAAUUCCCGAGAAGCUGUGAGUGAAUCUGAAAAACACAAGAACAUCCUCCAGAUGAUGAGCAGCUUUAUGGUCAGUCCUCAGUAGCCACAGGUUUCACAUCCAGGGAUUCCACCAACCACAUAGCAACACUUGAUUUUGACACAUGCAGGUGCCUUUGAACAUAACAUUGUCUUUACAACAAUUUACUUAGAAUGUCCACUUAUGAGGCAUAGUAAAUAACCCAGACAGUAUUGAAAACGUGUGGGAGGAUGUGUGUAGGUUAUAUCCAAAUACUACCCCGUUUUAUAAAAGGGUCUUUUGAGCAUCAUGUUUUGGUAUCCAUGGGCAUCCUGGAACCAAUCCCUUUGGGUACCACAGCAAGCGGCUGUCCUUGGCUUCUUAAUUUCUGUAGUACUUGAACACAGACAUUCCAGAUGAUAAAAUGAACGGGCACCAUCUUCACUCCUCUGUUGGCAUAGAAGCUCAAGAUUUUAGAGAAAUGCCAGUCUUAAACUUCACAGAAAGAAGAGUAAAAAUGAAGAGGCCCCAAACUUAGCUCCUUUUCCAGAUGUUAGUAUCUAGUUCUUAUCUACCAGGGAAGGAAGCCUCCAAGAAUCAGGGGCACCUUGGGAAGGAAGUGCCCCGAGGCACAAGCGUUGGGUCUGCAGCCAGAGGAAGGGAGACCGUAGUACCUGCUUCCUGCCUUCCCCCCGCCAGCCUCUCACCUCAUAUCUUUCCUGAUCCAGAUCUCCCACCCCAGGAGCUACGAUCUGUGAUCCUGCCAACUCUCAUCUGAACAAAUUACUGUCAGCUUUGAUCCUGCCUCACUGAGGCAGGUUAUCUUCUCUGAAUCUGGAUGAGGCGGGCCCCUUGGAGGAAUCCUGCAAACACAGUCAAGACAUCAGAGCGUUUCUCAGUCUUCAUGGAGGCCAGUCAGCCAGAUACGGUACAAUGCAGCCACCUGCGACGUAGAAGCAGAGGGAGAUCCAUUUUGAUGAAACACAGAGAGAGGGUGGUUUAACUGUAAGGUAAAUGAACAGAGAAAUAUAAACAUGGCUGACUUUGCUGUCUGGCAUCUGAGGCAUACAUAAGAGCAAUUACUCCAAAGGUUUGAUCAACAUAUGCAGCUGCAGAGUCAUCCCAACCUCCAGGAGGACCAGGAUGUCAGCAUUCAGAGCCCCACCCCAAAGCCAAGCUGGGUGCCUGACUGCUGCUGUGUUAGGGCUACCUGACAGCUGUGUAUCUCAGCCCUUCAUCUUCCAUGCAGGGCGCAAGAAACCGAAGGCUGCUCCUUUGCCCAACUCAGACACCCUGGCGCCACCCCAGGGACCAAAGUCCUUUUAUCUCUAAUCAGAGGAGAAUUUCAAAGGGUGUGGACGUUAACAACACGGAUUGUCAUUAUUUGGGUGACAGCGGGAUUAGGGAACAUAUCCGUCUAAUGGUUUUCCAACCUGAUAAAAGAGAGAAAGUAGCAUAUCAUAGAAACUUAGCAAAAUUAAAAAUUAAAUACAUUUAUGGAGAGCUUAAUAUGAGGCAGACAUCAUUCAAUUACUCCCAAGUUUCCAUUUUUAAGACGUGUUUAAAGAUGCAUUUUUCUAGUGGUCUUUGUGUUGGCAGAAGGGUCUUUUUCUAAGAACUAACUGAAUGUUAUUUAUUGGACACCCGAGAAUCAUCACAAAUGUUUAUUUCUUUGUCGGCUCAUUUAUUCAUACAGCCCUCAACUGUGAGGGAGCUUCCGCCACAGUCUCUGGCCUGUGCUGGUUGGCGAGGAGCAGCCAAGGGCUCCCAAGUAGGGAACUCCAACAUCACUCUAGGAAGUGCAGGCAGGUCCUAAAGUUCCCUAAGACGCCCCCCAUCCCCUGUCCCCUUGCUGACUGGCUUCUCUGCCCGAAAUAGUUGAGCUAUUAAUCACUGGCACUAUAUGACAAGAGAUAGCAAUGAUUCACAUUUUCCCUCCCAAUCCAAGGAAACAAUGUACAAUCUCAAAGCUCAAUUUUAGGAGACCCAGUUGCGGCUCAGUCAGUUAGGAACCCGACUAGUAUCCCUGGCCUCGCUCAGCUCAGUGGGUUAAAGGAUCCAGCAUUGCCACAAGGUCGCAGAUGUGGCUUGGAUCUGGCAUUGCUGUGACUGUGGUGUAGGCCAGCAGCUGCAGCUCCAAUUCAACCCCUAGCCUGGGGACUUCCAUAUGCCACCCUGAAAAGAAAAGAAAAAAAAACAUUAAAAGCUCAAUUUUAGGAGUUCCCAUAGUGGUGCAGCGGAAACGAAUCCCAACAGGAAUCAUGAGGUUGCGAGUUCAAUCCCUGGCCUCGCUCAGUGGGGUAAGGAUCUGGCCUUGCGGUGAGAAAAAAAAAAAAAGUUCAAAUUUAUAUUGAAAAAAUAUUUCCCCCAGCUUUACAUUUUUAAUAAUUUUUUUUUGAAUCCAUAAGAAGCUUUUAUUUAUUUAUUUAUUUGUCUUUUUUUUUUUUUUUUUUUGCUUUUUCUAGGGCUGCUCCCACGGCAUAUGGAGGUUCCCAGGCUAGGGGUCUAAUCGGAGCUGUAGCCACCGGCCUACUCCAGAGCCACAGCAACGCGGGAUCCGAGCCGCACCUGCGACCUGUACCACAGCUCAUGGCCACGCCAGAUCCUUAACCCAGGGAGCAAGGCCAGGGACCAAACCCGCAACCUCAUGGUUCCUAGUCAGAUUCGUUAACCACUGCGCCACGACGGGAACUCCAGAAGCUAUUAUUUAAAUACAAUUUAGAAAAUAGAUAUAUCUUUUUUUAAACAUCAUUCUCCCAUUUCUACUUUGAAAAUGUAGGGAUUUAAUGCCGGGCAGUAAUGGAUUUAAAUAUAAGUGUAGAGGGGUCACUGUGACACAACUUCUUCCUAAGUGUAUAUGAUGAAUUCGUGGUGUAAGAUAGUUCCUAAAGGCCUGUGCUGCUGCAUCAUAUUUUAACCUUUAGCUUUAUGACAGAACAAACACAUUAACUAUAGUCUUAUUCCCAGUGCGUUUGCAGUUGUCAGAGUCUCUCAUAACAUCCUGGAAUCUUCAAUCAUCCCUCUGGAGAACACGUGUCCUAUUCAGGCACAGUCAUGUGCUCCAGCUUCUUCUGAGCGAGGAUGCUGGGCUGCUGGGAGUCAUCUGUCUUCUUUAAUAUUAACAUUUACAUUUUUUAACUUAUUUUUAUGGUUGCCACCGAGGCAUAUGGCUCUUCCCGGGCUAGGGAUCCAAAACGUGCCUCCACAGCGACUGGCGCCCCUGCAAGCGGAUUCUUCAUCGACGGCACCAUAGCAGCAACUCCAACACUAACGUUUUUCAUAAGGUCCCUCCCACUGCUGCACCUACUAAAAUAGCACGUUGAGGUUUGAAUAUAGUGCUGUAUUUAGUCUGAAUGUAUGAGGACCCCCCCCCCCCAGGGCACAAUAAGGUACAGUCAACUCUCUCCCCUUUCAGACUAUGCAUCCAGUCCUAUGAAGCAUGGAGCUGGAGGGUCAGAUGUAGCCAGUCUGAAUUUAUAAACAUCCCUAAGGGAUGUAAGCAAAAUGACUUACAACUAUAGUCUAUUUGCAGGAAUCAUCACAAACUGAUAUAAGAAUGCUUUCCAGGAGUUCCCCUGGAGGCUCAGUGGGUUAAGAACCCUACUAGUAUCCAUGAGGAUGCAGGUUUGCUCUUGGUCAGUGGGUUAAGGAUUCUGCAUUGCUGAAAGCUGGCAGUAGGUCCCAGAUGUGGCUCAGGACUGGCAUGGCUGUGGCUGUGGUGUAGGUUGCAGGCGUGGCUUGGAUUGGGUGUUGCUGUGGCUGUGGUGUAGGCCAGCAGCUGCAGCUUCAAUUCAACCCUUAGCAUGGCAACUUCCAUAAGCCGCAAACGCAGACCUAUGAAACAAGGAAGGAA
rnacentral:lncRNA from 1 species